rnacentral:lncRNA from 1 species
GCAGAUACACACAAGUACAGUCACACUUACGAAACAGCAUUUUACUUGUUUUUGGGGAAAAACAUUGAUGUGCUUAGUGGCAAAACCCACCGCAUUUUGCCAUAUUCAGAAGUAAUUACCACCCAACCAAUCUCAACAACCACUCAUUCUGAGCAGGGUCACAGUGAGCCAGAGCCUAUCCUGGAGACACUGGGCACAAGGGGCAGGAGGGCACACACACUGGAUGGGACGCCACGCCAUUGCAGGGCCACAACUAGGUACCCAGGCACACAGCCGGGUGAAGGUACUGGAGCAAUUGCAGGGCAGGCACCUCCCUCAAGGAUGCUACAGCUGGAGAUAGAGAUUGAACCGGCAACCCUCAGAACCAAAGGCAGCCACUCCAACCGUGACGCCACCAGCCACCCCCAGCGAUCGCCACAGGGGUAUGUCCAGAUCCGCAGCUCUGCUCUGCAUGUGCCCAGGAUGCUGGAAAGCAUGUACAUCACCGUGAUGAUCAUCUGGAGAGCUGAGAUAAAGCACUGGAGGAGAACAGCUGCAGAGACUCGUGUGAGCAGAUGGGCACAUGGCCGCCACUGGUUCCCGAGAGCUCUGCUAUGAUUGUCAUAUCUCGCCGCCAUGGCAACAUGCCUGCUGGCCCCCCUGGGAUGCGUUGAUAAUCGCUUUCCUUCGAAUGAGGAUAAUUUUGACAGGAGCAGGAGGAGGCAGGACAGCAGGGAAACUUGGUGAAGGUUGCGCUAGGCCCCCGUGAUGGAGCUUCGAAGUAAUUGGCUCACAUGUUUUUUGAAAGCAAUAGAUUCCGGCGAAUCUCGAAUUUAAUACAUACUAUUCUUUGACUUCAGUCGUGUCCAACAAGUUACAUUUAAGAAUCUGCAUUAUACAGAUGUUCUUUGCUAAUUCACCCCGGUAGAAACUGAACUAAUAAUCGCUAACUCAGGAUGUUUUUCACUUUUAUUGUUAACCUCAGGGUUUCUCACUUGGAACUACAUUUAUGAUGUACAUCUGAAGUUGUGUUGACCCAACAUGUCACUAUAAAUGGUCCAGCGAAAACGGUCUUGCCUAUUUUUAUUUGCUCGGGUGUGCUGUUUCAUUUCAGUUAGCAGACAGAACCCACACAAAAACACGUUAUUUUAACAUCUCAUGCUAAUAAGCCCCAUGACUUAAGUUGAUUAACACAAUCAUCACUGUCAAGCUCUGCUGGAGUACGAAAUGCUCACCUGUCCUUCACGCCAGAAUUAAGUCUAUGACCUGGAGCAGAAAAAAAAAAACAUCGUGUUAGAAGGGUUAGAGAAAGUGACAUGCCUUG